ACCGAGGUGGCGGAAUGGUAGACGCACUGCUUUAAGGGGGCAGCGAGAGAGAUCUCGUAGGGGUUCGAGUCCCCUUCUCGGUACCA
rnacentral:tRNA from 1 species